CCUACGGGUGGCAGCAGUGAGGAAUCUUGGUCAAUGGGCGCGAGCCUGAACCAGCCAAGUCGCGUGAGGGAUGAAGGUUCUAUGGAUCGUAAACCUCUUUUAUAAGGGAAUAAAGUGUGGGACGUGUACUAUUUUGUAUGUACCUUAUGAAUAAGGAUCGGCUAACUCCGGGCCAGCAGCCGCGGUAAUACGGAGGAUCCGAGCGUUAUCCGGAUUUAUAGGGUUUAAAGGGUGCGUAGGCGGGCUGGUAAGUCAGCGGUAAAAGCCCGGGACUGAACCACGGCGAGCCGUGGAAACUGGGUAUCUUGAGAUGUCGAGAGGUGUGCGGAAUGCGCAGUGUAGCGGUGAAAUGCUUAGAGAUUGCGCAGACCUCCGGUUGCGAAGGCGGCAUACCGGCGGCGAUCUGACGCUGAGGCACGAAAGCGUGGGUAUCGAACAGGAUUAGAUACCCUUGUAGUC
rnacentral:rRNA from 1 species